rnacentral:rRNA from 1 species
AACGAACGCUGGCGGCGCGCCUAACACAUGCAAGUCGAACGAGAAGGCAUAGCAAUACGCUUGUAGAGUGGCGAACGGGUGAGUAAUACGUGGGUGACCUACCCUCGAGUGGGGAAUAACCCGCCGAAAGGCGGGCUAAUGCCGCGUACGCUUCCGUCCUCACGGGGACGGAAGGAAAGCUGUACCGUGGGUACGGCGCUCAAGGAUGGGCUCACGUCCUAUCAGCUUGUUGGUAGGGUAACGGCCACCAAGGCUACGACGGGUAGCUGGUCUGAGAGGACGAUCAGCCACACUGGCACUGCGACACGGGCCAGACUCCUACGGGAGGCAGCAGUGAGGAAUAUUGCGCAAUGGGC